rnacentral:rRNA from 1 species
AGUGAACGCUGGCGGUAGGCCUAACACAUGCAAGUCGAACGGCAGCACAGUAAGAGCUUGCUCUUACGGGUGGCGAGUGGCGGACGGGUGAGGAAUACAUCGGAAUCUACUUUUUCGUGGGGGAUAACGUAGGGAAACUUACGCUAAUACCGCAUACGACCUACGGGUGAAAGCAGGGGAUCUUCGGACCUUGCGCGAUUGAAUGAGCCGAUGUCGGAUUAGCUAGUUGGCGGGGUAAAGGCCCACCAAGGCGACGAUCCGUAGCUGGUCUGAGAGGAUGAUCAGCCACACUGGAACUGAGACACGGUCCAGGCUCCUACGGGAGGCAGCAGUGGGGAAUAUUGGACCAUGGGCGCAAGCCUGAUCCAGCCAUACCGCGUGGGUUAAGAAGGCCUUCGGGUUGUAAAGCCCUUUUGUUGGGAAAGAAAAGCAGCAGGUUAAUACCCCGCUGUUCUGACGGUACCCAAAGAAUAAGCACCGGCUAACUUCGUG